AUCACUUCUCGGCCUUUUGGCUAAGAUCAAGUGUAAAAGUAGAGAGGUAUGAUUGAGGUAAAGUAAACAUUUUUUUAGAAAAUUGGAGUUGGGUUGGUGGCAAACACCUGUGAUCCCAGCACUUGGUAGGCUGAGGCAGAAGGAUCACCACAAG
rnacentral:snRNA from 1 species